AAAGUCGUAACAAGGUCUCCGUUGGUGAACCAGCGGAGGGAUCAUUACAGAGUUUUACCAAACUCCCAAACCCCAUGUGAACAUACCUCGCGUUGCCUCGGCGGGAGCGAUCCCGCCGGCGGCCCCACGAAACUCUGUCGUAUUGUGAAAUUCUGAAUUACAAAGCUAAAAAGUUAAAACUUUCAACAACGGAUCUCUUGGUUCUG
rnacentral:misc_RNA from 1 species